rnacentral:lncRNA from 1 species
GCGUGCCUGGCCCCACACUGUCACAGCACAGGAACGCCGGGAAGCACCUCACAGUCCCCUUCAGGUCAAAGGCUGAUCUCUUACACUUUGGAAAAAUAGAUACAGUUGAGCCCAUGAAGUUGCUGAUUUUUAAGUGUUUGCGACCUACAGAAACGGUUCAAGCCUCAUCCAUCGCUGUGAUGUCUUUCUCUCUCCUUGUUCUAUAAUUCAAGUGAGUUGCUGCCACAAAAGCAAGAAGGAUCACCAUUCAGCUGUAGCAACCUCCACGGAGGAAACAAGAGAGGAAAUGAGAUGUUCUCCAUUCUGCCAGAAGGCAAACUUCCAGCUACAAUCGGAGGUACUUUCUCUGCAGGGUGGCCAGCUUGAAGAAAAAUGCUUUUAUGUGCUAAUAUCUUUACAUUGCUGAAGAGCCCAUAAUUUCAAAGACUCUCAAGUUACUUUGUAAAUUGCAUAUGAAGACGUCCUAGAAAGUAUGUAUAGGAGACUGUCCAUCUUAUCACAGUAUAGACCAACUUUUCAAUCUUCCUGUUUGAUGGCAACGCCUGUGUUUACAGAGCGCUGCAAGGGGUAGUUCACCUCAUCCAAGAUGCCUGUGUGGUACGUAUCAGCAUCCAUCUGAUUAAAUCACUUUUCCAGAUGGUCAACAAAUAUAUUUGCUGUGCAAAAAGGAAUUUAAGAAGCCUGUUUCCUAAUACUUAGUUUCGUAUGGCUAUAGAAAAACAGACAAGUUGAAAAGAAAAUUUCAAAAUUACUCUUUUUAGGCAUCAACCCUAACCUCAAUAAUUGUCUUGGGAAAAUGUGUGUGUGUGUGUGUGUGUGUGUGUGUGUGUGUCUGUGUGCAUUUUCCCUUAAAGCAAUGGUGCAGAA